rnacentral:rRNA from 1 species
CCUACGGGAGGCAGCAGUAGGGAAUCUUGCGCAAUGGGCGAAAGCCUGACGCAGCCAUGCCGCGUGAAUGAUGAAGGUCUUAGGAUUGUAAAAUUCUUUCACCGGGGAAGAUAAUGACGGUACCCGGAGAAGAAGCCCCGGCUAACUUCGUGCCAGCAGCCGCGGUAAUACGAAGGGGGCUAGCGUUGCUCGGAAUUACUGGGCGUAAAGGGCGCGUAGGCGGAUAGUUUAGUCAGAGGUGAAAGCCCAGGGCUCAACCUUGGAAUUGCCUUUGAUACUGGCUAUCUUGAGUUCGGGAGAGGUGAGUGGAAUGCCGAGUGUAGAGGUGAAAUUCGUAGAUAUUCGGCGGAACACCAGUGGCGAAGGCGACUCACUGGCCCGAUACUGACGCUGAGGCGCGAAAGCGUGGGGAGCAAACAGGAUUAGAUACCCUGGUAGUCCACGCUGUAAACGAUGAGUGCUAGUUGUCGGCAUGCAUGCAUGUCGGUGACGCAGCUAACGCAUUAAGCACUCCGCCUGGGGAGUACGGUCGCAAGNUUAAAACUUAAAGGAAUUGACGG